rnacentral:lncRNA from 1 species
AUGCUUUUGAAUUCACCUCUGUCGAAUUCUAAUUAAAAAAAAAAAAAAAACUCUUCUCCUUAUCCACCGGAAUGUCACGUUGAAGAAAAAAAAAAUUAGGAGGCCUUCUUUAUUUGUUUGCCGCCAUGCAACUACUUUACCGAUUGGAUUGCCAUUUCAAAUUUAAUGCAGAUGAUGGCGUGGCUCUCCGUUUUAAUUGGUUUUCCUACAGCCAAAAGAGCAUCAUGAACUUGGUUCAAACUUUAGACUGGCUUUUGUUCUAUAUAAUAUAUAAUAAAUUAAAGCAAAAAAAAAAAAAGGGAAUGUUCUGAUUGGAGAUAGUCAGUCAAACCUUAUAACCGACUUAUUUUAUGCUUAGUCAAAUCUGCAUUGAAAUUGUAAAGUUCUUCGGUCGACCAAAUUGGUUGUUUAAACAGGGAACUUAAAUGGUCGAAUCCUAAGAUUUAAGUUCUGCAAUAAUGUUCUUAUAUAUGCAUAGAAUACGACUUGCAUCUUAUCCUCAUGAUUUGCUUACCUGCGUUUGAAGUAACUAAUUGUUAUCUUAAACAGUUCG